AGAGUUUGAUCCUGGCUCAGAACGUACGCUGGCGGCACGCCUAACACAUGCAAGUCGAACGAAGUAGCAAUACUUAGUGGCAGACGGGUGAGUAACAUGUGGGAAUCUGCCCUAUGGCCUGGAAUAACACGAGGAAACUUGUGCUAAUACCAGAUAAGUCUUUACGGAGAAAGCUUUAUGCACCAUUGGAUGAGCCCGCAUUUGAUUAGUUUGUUGGUGGGGUAAUGGCCUACCAAGACUGUGAUCAAUAGCUGAUUUGAGAGGAUGAUCAGCCACAUUGGGACUGAGACACGGCCCAAACUCCUACGGGAGGCAGCAGUGGGGAAUCUUGCACAAUGGAGGAAACUCUGAUGCAGCGAUGCCGCGUGAGUGAAGAAGGCCUUUGGGUUGUAAAGCUCUUUCGUCGGGGAAGAAAAUGACUGUACCCGAAUAAGAAGAUCCGGCUAACUUCGUGCCAGCAGCCGCGGUAAUACGAAGGGACCUAGCGUAGUUCGGAAUUACUGGGCUUAAAGAGUUCGUAGGUGGUUGAAAAAGUUGGUGGUGAAAUCCCAGAGCUUAACUCUGGAACUGCCAUCAAAACUUUUCAGCUAGAGUAUGAUAGAGGAAAGCAGAAUUUCUAGUGUAGAGGUGAAAUUCGUAGAUAUUAGAAAGAAUACCAAUUGCGAAGGCAGCUUUCUGGAUCAUUACUGACACUGAGGAACGAAAGCAUGGGUAGCGAAGAGGAUUAGAUACCCUCGUAGUCCAUGCCGUAAACGAUGUGUGUUAGACGUUGGAAAUUUAUUUUCAGUGUCGCAGCGAAAGCGAUAAACACACCGCCUGGGGAGUACGACCGCAAGGUUAAAACUCAAAUGAAUUGACGGGGACCCGCACAAGUAGUGGAGCAUGUGGUUUAAUUCGAAGAUACGCGAAAAACCUUACCA
rnacentral:rRNA from 1 species